GCUGCUAUAGCUCAGGGGUAGAGCACUUCAUUGGUAAUGAAGAGGCCGGGGGUUCAAUUCCUCCUAGUAGCACCACCAC
rnacentral:tRNA from 1 species